GGCAGUUCUCAGAUGACACACCCUGGAAUCAGGCUCCCUCCUCUCUGGUUCUGGGUGCAUAAUCAGAGAACUACA
rfam:Myotis lucifugus cont2.17116, whole genome shotgun sequence.